UACGUAGGCAGCGAGCGUUGUCCGGAGUUAUUGGGCGUAAAGAGUGCGUAGGCGGUCUUCUAAGUUUGGUGUGAAAUCUCCCGGCUUAACUGGGAGGGUGCGCCGAAAACUGGAAGGCUUGAGUAUGGGAGAGGUAAGCGGAAUUCCCGGUGUAGUGGUGAAAUGCGUAGAUAUCAGGAGGAACACCAGUGGCGAAAGCGGCUACCUGGCCCAUUCUUGACGCUGAGGCGCGAAAGCUAGGGAAGCAAACGGG
rnacentral:rRNA from 1 species